AACAAAGGCAGGGUAUAAGAAACAUGAUAGCAACUGAAUCUGAAAAUGAGAAUUAAAGUACCACUAGAAUUUGAAGAUAAUUUGGUAAACUAUAAAGAGCAAAAUUUCUCCUCCAGAAGAGAGAGCUACAACAAUCGUAUCAUAGAAAUACGCAACUUUUCCAUUGUGAUAUUUCACUGGGAAUUUUUAGGGCCAGAAGUUGGUAGAUUUUCAUACUGCCAAAAAAAACAGAUAAAGUAAAUAAUUUAUAUGGCAUUUCAAAACUAUUUAUUUACCACAAAAAAAAAAACUGAAUAUUAAUGAGAUGAAUGCUGACCUCUGUUUUCAAUUGGCCCAUCUCCUUGAGCAAUUGUUCAAUGAUUUUCUUUUGUUUUUCACUUUCUCCACAUGUAGAGCAAAGUAGAUUCUUCUUCCUUUCACUUACCAAUUUAUUUUUCAAGCGGAGCAUUUCAUUUUCGAGUUUAAGUGCCUUGUUUUCAUUUUUCUUUUCGCUAAAAAUUGAAAGCACCAUAAAAAUUUAUUGAAGACUGUAAAAUAAAUAAUAAGAAAAGAGGAAAAAGAAAUGGAAAAACAACUCACUUGCUAAGUUCUUGCUCUGAACUAGAACCACGUUUCCGAGAAGCCAUUAGAUAGAAACUAGAGCAAAUUAAGAAUAAAGUAGCUCUUUU
rnacentral:lncRNA from 1 species